CCUACGGGUGGCUGCAGUGGGGAAUAUUGGACAAUGGGCGAAAGCCUGAUCCAGCCAUGCCGCGUGUGUGAAGAAGGCCUUCGGGUUGUAAAGCACUUUCAGUGGGGAAGAAAGCCUUGGGGCUAAUACCCUCGAGGAAGGACAUCACCCACAGAAGAAGCACCGGCUAACUCCGUGCCAGCAGCCGCGGUAAUACGGAGGGUGCGAGCGUUAAUCGGAAUUACUGGGCGUAAAGCGCGCGUAGGCGGUCUGAUAAGCCGGUUGUGAAAGCCCCGGGCUCAACCUGGGAACGGCAUCCGGAACUGUCAGGCUAGAGUGCAGGUGAGGAAGGUAGAAUUCCCGGUGUAGCGGUGAAAUGCGUAGAGAUCGGGAGGAAUACCAGUGGCGAAGGCGGCCUUCUGGACUGACACUGACGCUGAGGUGCGAAAGCGUGGGUAGCAAACAGGAUUAGAUACCCUGGUAGUC
rnacentral:rRNA from 1 species